GCCCUUUCACGGGUGGCAUUGCAUAUUUGCAUGCAUGCAUAACAUAUUUGGUGAUCUUUAAUUGAGACUGUUCCACCGUUCACACAUUAAUAGUAAAAAAAAAAAUGUUAAAAAAAGAAAGAAUCAAUGAAAAAAAAAAGUACAAGCAAUUUGCAAUAUAAUUCUUUACUAAGAAAUUUUAUAUUCUUAAACUUGAUGGAAGCUCGAAAGCACUAUAAAUACUGAUAUAGUGAAGAGAUAGUAAAAUCAGUUCAUUCAAUAAUUGCCUUCAAAAAAUUUAAAUAGAAGUCAAGUAAUAAUGGAAAGAGGUGCUUCCACUUACCUUAAGAUAGUCCUCCUUGGUGCACUCUUCCUAAGUGCAACAGCGUCAACGUUGGAAAUGAUAGAAGUCAAAGAAGAUAUGAUGAAUAAUCUGAUGAUGAUGAUAGAAGAAGCCCAAUUAUCAAAGGGAGAAAAUAACAAAAUAAUUGAAGAGGUAGUCACGUGCCAAGGAGGUGGUCAAGUAUGCCAUGUUUUUAACAAUCCUUGCUGCAAUACCUUCGUUUGCAUCAGUCACAAGUGUGUGUGAUAAUGCUGCUUCUCAUCACUACUUAAAUUAUGUUUUUAUUAAGCCUAAAAUAAAUAAAGUUGUUGGGUAUUAUUGGGACGUUUUUCCAAAGUAAGCUUAAGUAGCAAAAUAUAUACGUAAAUGGUUGCGUGGCAAAA